rnacentral:rRNA from 1 species
CCUACGGGUGGCAGCAGUAGGGAAUAUUGCUCAAUGGGGGCAACCCUGACGCAGCAACGCCGCGUGGGUGAUGAAGGUUUUCGGAUCGUAAACCUCUUUUGUUAGAGAAGAUAAUGACGUUAUCUAACGAAUAACCACCGGCUAACUCCGUGCCAGCAGCCGCCGUAAUACGGAGGGCGCAAGCGUUCCUCGGAAUCACUGGGCGGAAAGAGCGCGUAGGCGGGUUAGCAAGUCAGAUGUGAAAUCCUAUGGCUUAACCAUAGAAGUGCAUUUGAAACUGGUAUUCUAGAGUAUGGGAGAGGUAGGUGGAAUUCUUGGUGUAGGGGUAAAAUCCGUAGAGAUCAAGAGGAAUACUCAUUGCGAAGGCGACUUGCUAGAACAUAACUGACGCUGAGGCGCGAAAGCGUGGGGAGCAAACAGGAUUAGAUACCCGAGUAGUC